UUUCUGGUUUUUUGGUCACCCUGAAGUUUAUAUUCUAAUUCUUCCAGGUUUUGGUAUGGUUUCUCAAAUUAUUCCUACUUUCUCUAACAAAAAACAAGUAUUCGGUUAUUUAGGAAUGGUUUACGCUAUGUUAUCAAUUGCUAUCUUAGGAUUUAUUGUUUGGGCUCAUCACAUGUUUACUGUUGGAAUGGACGUAGACACUAGAGCUUACUUUACAGCUGCAACUAUGAUUAUUGCUGUCCCCACAGGGAUCAAAAUCUUUAGUUGGUUAGCUACUCUUUACGGAGGGCAAGUAAGAAUGGACACCCCAAUGCUUUGGGCUUUAGGUUUUGUCUUCUUAUUUACCAUAGGGGGAUUAACUGGGGUUAUUCUAGCUAAUAGCUCUCUUGAUAUCGUCCUCCAUGACACUUAUUAUGUUGUGGCCCAUUUUCAUUACGUCCUUUCUAUGGGGGCUAUCUUUGCUAUUUUUGCUGGAUUUUAUUAUUGAUUUGGUAAACUAACAGGGUAUUGUUAUAAUGAACUCUAUGGCAAGAUCCAUUUCUGAGUAAUGUUUGUAGGAGUUAACCUUACUUUUUUCCCCCAACAUUUCUUAGGGCUAGCCGGACUCCCUCGUAGAUACUCUGAUUUCCCUGAUAGUUUCACAGAAUGGAAUACUUUAAGCUCUUUUGGCUCAGCUAUUUCUAUUGUUGCUGUCUUGUGAUUUGUUUAUGUUGUAUACGAUGCUUUUGUCAGAGAAAUUCCUUUUGUAACUUGAUUGGAAAAUGAAAAUCAAGCCCCUUCUCUAGAGUGGGUACAAUUAUCACCCCCUAAUAUUCAUACAUAUAAUGAAUUACCUUUUAUUUAUGCCCCUAGGGCCAUUACUCUCCCCUAACCUAUAAAAUUCUGGUCUUUGCCCUUAAAGCUCCUUACAAAGAAGAAGGCUCUUACUGCUCAAAAGCUUUUUUUUGAUCAAUUAAAACAUUUUAUUACCUUAAAGUAAAGAAAUCCAUCGAGAUUAUGCAAGUAGUGGCGAACGAAAGCAACCCUGGGCCAAAGUACUCUUAAGAAAAGAACCCCUUCUAACCCUUAAAUAGGCAAGACACAGAUAGUGAACAGUACCGUGAGGGAAAAAUGAAAGAAUUUGAAAACAACAGUAGGUUAGUUUUCUGUUAUUAAAAACGUACCUUUUGCAUAAUGGGCCUGCCAGUGAUCAUUUGGCAAACUGAAAGUCAAGUCAAAUUCCCCGAAACCAAGUGAUCUAACCCUUUCCCAGAUUUUAAGUCUUUACCGGUGGCUGUGGCAACAUCCUCGGGAGAGGAAGGGUUAGCGGUGAAAUACCAAUCGAACUUGGCACUAGCUGGUUUUCCACGAAAGGCAUUUAAGUGCCGGAGGUUUAUUAUUUAGGCUUGUCUUCUUCGACAAACCCCCCUAAUUAUAGCCCUACUGAGCCCUUAGGCGAUAAGGUCUAAGGACCAAAGGGAAACACCCCUAAACUCUAGUAAAAGACAUAAAAUCCCCCUAACGUCCACAGAGACCCCCUAAUAAACUGGUUUUAAGUAGGCUUGGAAGCAGCCACCUUAGAAUGAAGGCGUAAUAGCCCCUAACCCGAUAGGUUUUCUCUAAAAUCCAGAUGGCUUUUAAUCUUAAGCUGAGUUUAAUGUAGUGGAACAUGCUGUUCUAAUCCACCACGCAAGUAAAACAGCAGCGCUAAUGCAGGCAUGAGUAACAACCUCUUUCGGGGUUUUGUAAGCCAACCCCUAAGCUAACAGCAAUGGGAUCUAAAGGAAUUCACAGGAAGCCCCCUUUAGUUGAAUUGUACAGAACACCAUGAAAGUAAUCCUUGAUUUAUUUUUCUUAAGGAACUCGGCAAACAGGCUCUUUAGAGCCCUUGAACAUCGACUGUUUACCAAAAACAUAGCCCCUAGACCCCUAUUAGAGGUGACGCCUGCCCGAUGGUUUAUCCUAAGUUAAUUAACAUUAACGAACCUGAACUCAAUGGCCGCGGUAUUUCUGACCGUGAUAAUGUAGCGAAAUCAAUCGUCACUUAAUUGCUGACCUGUAUCAAAGGUAUUACGAAUGUUCCCCUGUCUCAAGAAAAAUCCCUGUGAAAUUGAAGGGGCCGUGCAUAUGCGGCCUAUUUUCCUGUAAGACGAAAAGACCCUAUUGAGCUUUACUAUAACCUUUCCUCAAAACACUAAGAAAAUGAGUAGCCCUCUAAUCUUAGUACUAGGAAAGGCUGGUAGUUUCGUUGGGGCGACGACCUUUCAAAAAGUAACAAAGGUUAGCGAUGGUUUUCUAUUUAAUGAAUCUUAGCCUGACUGUUUGGCUUAUAAGCCUACCAGACACUUUCGUGAGCCAUAAUUUUCCAUUUUAGGGGCAACCCUAAAAUGCCAUAAUAUAAAAGUUACCAUAGGGAUAACAGCGUAAUUUUGUCGAAGAGCUCUUAUCGAUGACAAAGAUUGCGACCUCGAUGUUGAAUUGUGGUAUCCUGGGGGUGUAGCCGCUCCCAAGGGUUGGUCUGUUCGACCAUUAAAACCGUACAUGAUUUGAGUUCAUUCCGCCGUCAGGCAGGAAGGUUUCUAUCUACAGGCCCCUCUCUCAGGGCAAUCCCCCCUAGUACGAAAGGACCGGGUGGAUCUUCCCUCUGCUUACCUCAGGUAAGGAAGUUAACCUACCCUUGGCUGCCGCUAAAGGAGCAUUUAACCCCUGAGACCCUAUCCCUAUGAGAAUUAAACCCUUCUUCCAAUUCUCCUUAAAUGACACUUCCACUCUCUCAGAAUUUUCAACAAAGUGAAAGAACUGUUUUCGCCCCGACCCCCACCCUAUCCCCCUAGGCCCAUUUUUUAUUUAUU
rnacentral:rRNA from 1 species